rnacentral:rRNA from 1 species
UUUAUUUAUGUCUACCUGCCCACUGAUUUAUUUAAUGGCCGCGGUAUUUUGACCGUGCAAAGGUAGCAUAAUAAUUUGUCUUUUAAUUGAAGGCUUGUAUGAAUGGUUGGACGAGAAAAUUACUUUCUUUAUUAUAAAAAAAUUAAUUUUAUUUUUUAGUUAAAAAGCUAAAAUUUUGUUGUAGGACGAGAAGACCCUAUAGAACUUUAUAUUCAUUAUUAUAUUAAUAUUUUUGGUUAAUUUUUUAUUAUAUUUUUAUGAAUAUUUUGUUGGGGCGACAAGAAAAUUUAUUUAACUUUUCUUUAUUAGUUUCAUUAAUUAAUGUAUAAAUGAUCCUUUAUUAUGGAUAAUAAGAAUAAGUUACCUUAGGGAUAACAGCGUAAUUUUUUUGGAGAGUUCUUAUCGAUAAAAAAGUUUGCGA